AGGCCACAUCGAACAACGCAGGAAAAAUCUUUAGUAGAUCGUAGGACAAGCCUACUCUCAUACUUACAAUACCCGGUUGC